AAACUAACAAGGAUUCCCCUAGUAGCGGCGAGCGAAGCGGGAAGAGCUCAAAUUUAUAAUCUGGCACCUUCGGUGUCCGAGUUGUAAUCUCUAGAAAUGUUUUCCGCGUUGGACCGCACACAAGUCUGUUGGAAUACAGCGGCAUAGUGGUGAGACCCCCGUAUAUGGUGCGGACGCCCAGCGCUUUGUGAUACAUUUUCGAAGAGUCGAGUUGUUUGGGAAUGCAGCUCAAAUUGGGUGGUAAAUUCCAUCUAAAGCUAAAUAUUGGCGAGAGACCGAUAGCGAACAAGUACCGUGAGGGAAAGAUGAAAAGCACUUUGGAAAGAGAGUUAACAGUACGUGAAAUUGUUGGAAGGGAAACGCUUGAAGUCAGACUUGCUUGCUGAGCAAUCGGUUUGCAGGCCAGCAUCAGUUUUCCGGGAUGGAUAAUGGUAGAGAGAAGGUAGCAGUUUCGGCUGUGUUAUAGCUCUCUGCUGGAUACAUCUUGGGGGACUGAGGAACGCAGUGUGCCUUUGGCGGGGGUUUCGACCUCUUCACA
rnacentral:rRNA from 1 species